rnacentral:lncRNA from 1 species
GCCGAAAGGCCCAAGCCCCAUAUUCUUAAUGGCAUAAGCUGCAGGAUGCCAGGUUUCAGUGAGGGUGGUGUGGCUCGUGUCAGACUCCUUGACCCUGUGGAGGUGCUUUGGAGACUUGGCACCAAAGUGGUGCCUGCAGUCAGUGAGUGUGCCUGUAACACGACAUACAGAGGGAAAAUCCUUCAUUCAUCUUUACCAAGCUCCA